rnacentral:rRNA from 1 species
UCCGAAUGGGGAAACCCACUGCUUCGGCAGUAUCCUGCAGUGAAUUCAUAGCUGCUGGAAGCGAACCCGGUGAACUGAAAUAUCUAAGUAACCGGAGGAAAAGAAAUCAACCGAGAUUCCCUAAGUAGUGACGAGCGAACGGGGACUAGCCCUUAAGCUGGUAUGGUUUUAGAAAAACAACCUGGAAAGGUUGGCCAUAGAAGGUGAUAGCCCUGUAUUUAAAAGGGCCAUACCAGUGAAGACGAGUAGGGCGGGGCACGUGAAACCCUGUCUGAACAUGGGGGGACCAUCCUCCAAGGCUAAAUACUCCUGACCGACCGAUAGUGAACCAGUACCGUGAGGGAAAGGCGAAAAGAACCCCGGAGAGGGGAGUGAAAUAGAUCCUGAAACCGUGUGCGUACAAGCAGUAGGAGCUCGUAAGAGUGACUGCGUACCUUUUGUAUAAUGGGUCAGCGACUUACUGUUCGUGGCAAGCUUAACCGUAUAGGGGAGGCGAAGGGAAACCGAGUCUGAUAAGGGCGCAUAGUCGCGGGCAGUAGACCCGAAACCGGGUGAUCUAGUCAUGCCCAGGGUGAAGGUCAGGUAACACUGACUGGAGGCCCGAACCCACUCCCGUUGCAAAGGUAGGGGAUGAGGUGUGAUUAGGAGUGAAAAGCUAAUCGAACCCGGAGAUAGCUGGUUCUCCUCGAAAGCUAUUUAGGUAGCGCCUCAUAUGUAUCCUCUCGGGGGUAGAGCACUGUUAUGGCUAGGGGGUCAUCGCGACUUACCAAACCAUUGCAAACUCCGAAUACCGAGACGGACUGUAUGGGAGACACACGGCGGGUGCUAACGUCCGUCGUGAAAAGGGAAACAACCCAGACCCACAGCUAAGGUCCCAAAUUCACUGCUAAGUGGAAAACGAUGUGGAAAGGCAUAGACAGCCAGGAGGUUGGCUUAGAAGCAGCCACCCUUUAAAGAAAGCGUAAUAGCUCACUGGUCGAGUCGGUCUGCGCGGAAGAUUUAACGGGGCUAAGCAGUGAACCGAAGCUUGGGGUGCAUCGCGUUAAGCGAUGCGCGGUAGAGGAGCGUUCCGUAAGCCUGCGAAGGUGGAUUGAGAAGUCUGCUGGAGGUAUCGGAAGUGCGAAUGCUGACAUGAGUAACGAUAAUGCGGGUGAAAAACCCGCACGCCGAAAGCCCAAGGUUUCCUUGCGCAACGUUAAUCGGCGCAGGGUGAGUCGGCCCCUAAGGCGAGGGCGAAAGCCGUAGUCGAUGGGAAGCAGGUUAAUAUUCCUGCACCUCGCGUAAGUGCGAUGGAGGGACGGAGAAGGUUAGGUGUACCGGGCGUUGGUUGUCCCGGGGAAAGGCGGUAGGUUUGGAUCCUUGGCAAAUCCGGGGUCCUUUAAGACCGAGCACCGAGACGAGUCUUUGAGACGAAGUCACUGAUACCACGCUUCCAGGAAAAGCUCCUAAGCUUCAGCUUACGCAGACCGUACCGUAAACCGACACAGGUGGGUAGGAUGAGAAUUCUCAGGCGCUUGAGAGAACUCGGGUGAAGGAACUAGGCAACAUGGCACCGUAACUUCGGGAGAAGGUGCACCCUUUUUGGUGGCUCGUGCGAGCUAUAGCUGAAGAGGGUCGCAGAAACCAGGCCGCUGCGACUGUUUAUCAAAAACACAGCACUCUGCAAACACGAAAGUGGACGUAUAGGGUGUGACGCCUGCCCGGUGCUGGAAGGUUAAUUGAUGGGGUCAGCCGCAAGGCGAAGCUCUUGAUCGAAGCCCCAGUAAACGGCGGCCGUAACUAUAACGGUCCUAAGGUAGCGAAAUUCCUUGUCGGGUAAGUUCCGACCUGCACGAAUGGCGUAACGACAGCGGCGCUGUCUCCACCCGAGACUCAGUGAAAUUGAAAUCGCUGUGAAGAUGCAGCGUUCCCGUGGCAAGACGGAAAGACCCCGUGAACCUUUACUAUAGCUUUACACUGAACGUUGAGUUCGUCUGUGUAGGAUAGGUGGGAGGCUAUGAAACCAUGGCGCUAGCUGUGGUGGAGCCAUCCUUGAAAUACCACCCUGUCGUGCUUGACGUUCUAACCUAGGUCCGUAAUCCGGAUCGGGGACCGUGUAUGGUGGGUAGUUUGACUGGGGCGGUCUCCUCCUAAAGAGUAACGGAGGAGCACGAAGGUACGCUCAGCGCGGUCGGACAUCGCGCACUGUGUGCAAAGGCAUAAGCGUGCUUGACUGCAAGAUCGACGGAUCAAGCAGGUACGAAAGUAGGUCUUAGUGAUCCGGUGGUUCUGUAUGGAAGGGCCAUCGCUCAACGGAUAAAAGGUACUCCGGGGAUAACAGGCUGAUACCGCCCAAGAGUUCAUAUCGACGGCGGUGUUUGGCACCUCGAUGUCGGCUCAUCACAUCCUGGGGCUGUAGUCGGUCCCAAGGGUAUGGCUGUUCGCCAUUUAAAGUGGUACGCGAGCUGGGUUCAGAACGUCGUGAGACAGUUCGGUCCCUAUCUGCCAUGGGCGUUGGAGAUUUGAGAGGGGCUGCUCCUAGUACGAGAGGACCGGAGUGGACGAACCUCUGGUGUUCCGGUUGUCACGCCAGUGGCAUUGCCGGGUAGCUAUGUUCGGAAGCGAUAACCGCUGAAAGCAUCUAAGCGGGAAGCGCGCCUCAAGAUGAGAUCUCCCGGGACACAAGUCCCCUAAAGGAACCAUGUAGACUACGUGGUUGAUAGGUCAGGUGUGU